rnacentral:lncRNA from 1 species
AUAGAAGUUUUUUGCUGUAAGUUUGUCUGCUGUAUUUUACACGGCAACUUCCAUCUUUCCCUUUCUUCCUCUUAGUUUAUUCUUCUUCCUUGUCUUUUUCAACGUACAAACCGUUGCUUUCUCUUUCCUUGAACGUUAAACUUUCAUUUAUGCUCCCUCUUGAACGACCAAACUCCAUACUUAGUUUCCUCUAUCGAAAAAUUUAUAAGUUUGUGUGUUGCUGUUGCCAUCAUACCACAUCACAAUCUUCUGCGGCUUCGGCUCAACACCAUCACCAAGAGGAUCAAGGCUGAUCUCUGUGUUGCUGUUCAACCACCAACGAGAGCCGCCGUUAGCUGUGUUUAGGUGAGUUGUCUUCUAAAUCUGGACUAGGGGUUGAGUACCUCUAUAGGAUUUGUACAAGUUAAAAUAUGUAGAUGCCGUUAUAUAUGGAUAGAUGUUGGUUAGGGACGUUAUGAUAGACAUAGAAAAGCUUAGAUAAGGCUUAGAGAGCAAAACAAAAGUCGUGGUGGAAGAUUCGGAUUAGAACAGUAGUAGAUUACCUGAAACAGUUUCUAGAACGUGUAUGUUUUGCUAAUUUUGUAGACAACUUUGUGUUGCGAUUUUGAAAGGAUUUUGUUCUGAAGAAACGUUGUGAACAUCUUAAAUAAUAACAUAUAUUUUUAUCUUAAUUUUUAGAAAUUAAAAAGAUGACGAUUUUAAUGACGUCAUCCUCGGAACAGUAAUCGGACAGUUUUGUAAUCCGUGACCUAUUAUGAUUCUGAGGGCUGUUAAUGACUUUUAGAGGUCGAAUUUCCAAUUGGUUCCUUCACAAAAGUUGUUUGUUAUAAAUUUUAUUUUAACAUACUUAAAUUUCAAGUCAAACGAAGCAUGUUUCGACCCAAAAACGAACUGAUUUCGAUAGGUUUGGCUCUCUGGAACUGGACCAGAUUUUUGUGCUGGAUAGAAACAAUUUCUGGGCUGAAUCCAGAGAGAUCUGGAUCUCGGUGUCUUCAUGAAAAAUGUUUGUUUAUAUGUUUUCUAGCACGUAUCCGAAUUUGAGAAUUUUUCAAGAUCGUAUGGAUGACUUUCUGACUUCGAAAUUGGGAGAGCGUUAUUGGGCAGUUCUCUGUCAAUUUGGAUGAAUAAGAAUAUAUACUUGUUUUUGAAGAAUUCUUGCUAUGAAAGUGCUCAAUUGAUGCUGUGGAUGCUGUAUAUAAUUGAUUAUUGAAAUGUGAAAUUGAUCAUAUGCAUUCACAACAUGAGGUUCCACCACGAGCCUUUGAGGCCGGGCGAUGCUCCUUCGGGAAUGCCCCACGUCAACGGAUGCCGGUCGCAGUGGAGGCUGGACCGAUGCUCCUUAAUUGGAAUGCCGUCUAGAUGUAGACGUUGCCGCGCUCAACGGUGUGAGGCGAUGCCCGGUUAUGCCGGAAGACUGUUAUCUGAGCAUUAACAUCAUUUGUGACAUAUGAGAUGCCCGGUUAUGCCGGAAGACUGUUAUCUGAGCAUUGACAUCAUUUGUGACAUAUGAGAUGCCCGGUUAUGCCGGAAGACUGUUAUCUGAGCAUUGACAUCAUUUGUGACAUAUGAGAUGCCCGGUUUUGCCGGAAGACUGUUAUCCGUUACAUUGACUAUGGCCUGUAUGCUUACAUGGAUAUUCACACCUUGCAUAUGCUUAUGUUAAAGUAUUCCUGUGAUGUGUGAACUUGACACUAUUAGGAAUAUUUUAUUUGAUGCUAAUAUGCAGGAACUUGCUGGUGUUAAAAGAGUUGUAAGAAAUGUGAUUAGAUUGCAUGCUGGAUGUACCCUUCACCUAAUCUGGAAUUAGGAGAUUUACUCACUGAGAUGUGAUCUCACCCCUUAGUGGGCUAACAUUUUCAGGUCCCUAAAUGGAGGAAGGCUGGAUCGUGUACAGUCGGUCGCAGUAAAGGAUGAAUAGGAUUCUCGCUAUCUCCUUCCAAGUGAUGACGGGUUUUCCGUCAAGACUGGAUGUAGGGUGACAGCUCACCCCCGAGAUAUUGAGAAGUAUGGUAUUGUAAUAGUAAACCCCAGUUUUAUAAAUAGAAGCUUAGUUAGUGGUUAAUCGAAUAGCUUCACUUUUGUAUCAAACCUUGGGGUGUUAAACUGGUCUAUUUACAUAGAUAUGAUAAUGUUGUAGUUGUGGUUUGUGAAAAAUAAUAUCCUACGUUUCUAUCCCACUGUUUUGUUGUAUGGAGAUUGUUUACGUUUCCGCAUGUGCAAAAUAAAUGAAUGGGUCGGCAACAAUUCCUGGGAUGUUGCAAAUUUAAAAUCGACCAUUGAGGGAUGUGCAUGUGCCCGGGGUUCGGGUCGUGACAAUGUAAAAUACCUAUAUUUUUCAAAUAUUAUGAGAGUAUAGUACAUCAUCCAAUUGUGAAACUAGCAUCCAGCGUCUUUGAUAG